CCUGGGAUUUUUUCACGCAACUUUAUAAAAAAAGAAGCCCAAAGUCGGGUAUAAUACGCGGAUUUGGCAACUAUAAUUACACUGUAAAAACAACCUGGAGAGGGCAGAAUUCAGAGAAAAGAGCAACUCUCAGACAACGACAGGCUGGCCCUGGAAGAUGAGAUGACCACAUUGAAUGAAAGAAUACCGAAAUACGAAAAGGAGCUGCAGGUGCUGAGAGUAGAGACCAGGAAGAACAUGAUGCUGUCCGUCGCUCUGUUAGCCAUCAGUGCUCUUUUCUGCUACACAUUUAUUUAUUAAGAAGUAUUUUCUGUCAUGCCAAACACUGUCUGAGAAUGAGAUUUGGGGACGCUGAUGUUUAUUCAUACCCAUCCGUGUUCAUCAUUUGGCAACACUGGUUUGCUCAGAGGUUGUGGAUUUGUCAGUGUCGUUUUUGCCAUAAAUACCUUAUGCCAUCUUCAUCUUGGCCUCGACAUCCUGGAUUGCCUCAACUCUAUAUUUUGUUUGCCGUGUAACAAAGAGACAUUAGAUGCUUGUGCAUCAGAAAGAGACACAGAAUUGGGAUUAUGUAUGUUUAUAUGAUCCUCAUUGUCAAGCACUUUACCUAAUAAUGACUAAAUUAUGUUUCUCUCCAGAUCACUGUUUAUUGCAUUUCAACAGGACUAACAUGCACAAAGGUGGGAGGGGCAGAGGGUGUUAUUCCAUCCAAAAAUAAAAUUUAUCAACAAAAUGUUCAGAUGAAAUAAAAAACAGCCAUCGAUAAAAUGCAAUACUGUCCCAUUAAACUGCCGUUCAUCCCUUUGAUAUCCUUGAUACUUGUAGCAAAUAGUAUUGGUAAUACACUCACUUGUAAUACAACAAAACAGGCAGCCAGGUAUAUUUAACAGUUCAUUGAAAAAAUUUAAAUUUGCUCACUCACCCUCAGGACAUCCAAUAUGUCGACGAGUUUUUCUUCAUCAGGACAGAUUUGGUGAAAUUUGGCAUUACAUCACUUGCUCAGCAAUGGAUCCUCUGCAGUGAAUGUGUGCUGUCAGAAUGAGAGUCUAAACAGCUGAUAAAAACAUCACAAGUAAUCUACACCACUCCAGUACAUUAAUCAACAAUUUGUGAUUGAAAAGCUGCACGUAUGUAAGAAACAAAUCCAUCAUUGAGGCAUUUUAACUUUAAACCGUCAUUUCUGGCCUAAAUAUGAUGCAAUAAUCCAUAAUAACGCUUCCUCCAGUGAAAAAGGGUGUUCCUUGUUGUCCUCUCUCAUUGAAAUCCACCAAUAUUUGUUUAGAACUGUUUUGGUCUGUUGUAAAUGGUUUCAUAUGUGCCUUUUUCUCUCCUGAUUCAGAUGAGACGACUUUCACCGGAGAAAGCAAUUUUAUAGAUACGACUCAUAUUUUAGCCGAAAGCAACGUUUUGAAGUUACAACUGUUUUGAUGGAUUUGUUCCUUACAAACACACAUGUUUUUGUUUCAUGUUGAUUGAUGAACUGGAGUGGUGUGGAUUACUUG